UACGUAGGGUGCGAGCGUUGUCCGGAAUUAUUGGGCGUAAAGAGCUCGUAGGCGGUCUGUCGCGUCUGCUGUGAAAUCCCGAGGCUCAACCUCGGGUCUGCAGUCGAUACGAGCAAACUAGAGUGUUGCAGGGGAGACUGGAAUUCCUGGUGUAGCGGUGAAAUGCGCAGAUAUCAGGAGGAACACCGGUGGCGAAGGCGGGUCUCUGGGCAACAACUGACGCUGAGGAGCGAAAGCGUGGGGAGCGAACAGG
rnacentral:rRNA from 1 species